rnacentral:tRNA from 1 species
GCAUUGGUGGUUCAGUGGUAGAAUUCUCACCUGCCACACUGGAGGCCUGGGUUCAAUUCCUGGCCAAUGCA